rnacentral:rRNA from 1 species
CUCGUAGGUGGUUCGGUAAGUCGGGUGUGAAAACUUUGGGCUCAACCCAAAGCCUGCAUCCGAUACUGCUGUGACUAGAGUUCGGUAGGGGAGCGGGGAAUUCCUAGUGUAGCGGUGAAAUGCGCAGAUAUUAGGAGGAACACCGGUGGCGAAGGCGCCGCUCUGGGCCGAUACUGACACUGAGGAGCGAAAGCGUGGGUAGCAAACAGGAUUAGAUACCCUGGUAGUCCACGCCGUAAACGUUGGGCACUAGGUGUGGGUUCCAACCAACGGAAUCCGCGCCGUCGCAAACGCAUUAAGUGCCCCGCCUGGGGAGUACGAUCGCAAGAUUAAA